UUACCAGCCACAGCCCAGGAAAUGCGAACACGCUCAGGUGUCAAACUUUGCUUUCACUGUUUCUUUGCCAUGUGCUGACAACAUGACACCUGAGUCCCCAUGGAGCCCCAACAUAACGUGAAAGUGAUGAUAAAAAUCCUGCUUGUUGCUUUGCACUGCAGAGGUUCCUCCACUGGCUCCAACAGAGAGCUCAGUGUGCCGAUGGGCUCAGAGGCGACGCUCAGCUGUGUGUUUGACAGACAGUCGAGGCCCGUGGAGUGGAGCGAUCUGACCGUGGAGUGGAACCUGGUGGACAAACAAGCAGGGAAGACGGUCGUCUACACGUUCGAGGACGGGAGAGCUCAUGUGAACAGAGGAGGUUCGGUGGUGAAUGAGACACGUCUGCGUCGCAGCGAUGCGUCUCUGCAGCUUUUUAAUGUGACCGUGAGAGAUGAAGGAGUUUACACCUGCAGGAUCAUCACACCUGUAGUCUACACAGAGAGCACUGCUCUGGAAGUGCUGGCUCGUCCUUCAGUGUUGCUCCCAGUGAAGGCAGCAGUGACUGAAGGAGAGGAGAAAACCCUACAGUGUGACAUCACACGUUUCUAUCCAGAGAAACUAACAGUGACGUGGCUCAUCCAAAACGGCUCCAACACGGUCCAUGCAGGUCUAAACCAGCUGUUCCGUGUCUGCACUGAGUUGGCCGUCCACAAUCCGGACGGCACCUACAGUAUUCGCAGCGGCAUCACGCUGCACUCCUCAGCAGUGAAGAAUAAAGAGAUACGACUCAUCUGCCAGGUGGAGCAUCAGACCUACAAACAUCUGUACAACACAUCUGUAUCAGUGACUGUAGAAGCUCCCUUACAGCCCCUCUACAGCGCUGCCACACUGAUCGCUGUCACCAGCAUCAUCAGUCUGCUGCUGGUCACCUCAGCUAUCGGAGCUGCAAGGUACUUCUGCAAAGCUCCACCAAGUGUUUCUGAAAUCAGCCAGCCCAGCAUCAUAUACGCUCAGAUACCAACCAACCUGGAAAUCACCGUCCAAGGAGCCACUCAGCGGCACAUUAAAGUGAAAUGGUUUAAACUAGUGACAGGUUCAGACUCAGCAGUGGAACCGGAGACGACAGGUUCUCUGUUGGUCGCUGAGGAUCUGAGUGAAAAGGCGUCUCUGCAGUCAGACGGGAAACGUCACACGUCUGUCCUGAAAGUCUGUCUGACGGUGGCUGAAGACCUGAGCAGGUACAGGUGUGUGGUGCAGUGCAGAGGAAGGAGCUUCAGCAGGGAGACUACAGUCAAAGUUAAAGUGGAGCCAUCUUUCCUCCAGAUCUCCAGCAUCCCUCAGAUCCCCGAGGUGGAGAGGCUGCUGGUUCUCUGCUGCCGGGUGGAGAACUUUUACCCCCAGGACGUCCACCUGGAGUGGUCCAGGAGUGACGGAGAACAGGUCCGAACUGUGACUCACUUUGGGCCUUUCCCCGACCACAGUAGUGGACUCUUCAGCGUCUGGAGUAAAAUCCAGCUGCUCAUGGCCAGAGAGGACGAGAAGGCCGUCUACACCUGCCGGGUUUACCACUCCAGCUUCCCUACGCCCGGCUACAAGGACGUCCGGUACCACAUCAACACUCAAGGAACUCCUCCUGAUGUGAUGUUCAUUGAAUGUGACCCUUCAUGUCCUCUGGUGAACGAAGAGGUUACACUGCAUCUAUGCAUCAAAGACUUCUGUCCUGAAGACGUGUCGGUGACGUGGACGAAAGACGGCGAAUCGCUUCUCUCCGGUGUCUUCAACACUCCUCCCAGCCUCAACAUCAAUGGCCUUUACUCCAUGUUCAGUUUUCUCAAGCUCACUCUCAAUGAUGACGACCAGAGCUCCAGGUUCAGGUGUCGGGUGGUUCACAGCGCUCAGAAGGAGCCUGAGGAGAGAUUUUUUACACUGUGAAACCUACCAGACAGCUGAUCAUGUCCUCAAUCUACUCAUUAAUGGAAUUUAGUCUGCAGUGCAAAAAUGUACAAAAAUGUACAUCAGAUACAUGGUGGUGAUGCUUGCAUUCAAUUAGCAUUGUUAUGAAUAUGCCAUAAUAUCGUGCAAACGAAAGGAGAAUGAACUGAAACAGUUUACAUGAUCCUCAGACAUUUGGUUAUAAAGGUUGAGAUGCUGUGUUAAAUGUAAAUAAACAGUAUAAAACAUAUACAUAUUUGACAAUUACGCAAAGACAACAGAUUGAAUGUUCCGUCCAAUAUUAAUGUUUUGAAAAAUAAGUGCUUUUAGACUAUUUGCGUUUUCCAAGUUUAUUCCAACUGUGUGGCAGUUACAUUUAUUAUUGCCACUCUCAAGCAGUUAUCUGUAAUGUUGAAUUUUGUAAGAUUUAUGACUAAUAUAUUUCCUAUGGAAUCACUUUUACUAAUCUGUGUGCAAAGUUUUUGACUUUGGCAACUUUGUUAACAUGACAUUCAUGCCAAUAAAGCACGCUGAAUUGAUCGAAAAGUGAAAAACUUGUUUUCUCUAGUUAGUUCCCAAUGACAGACAGAAACAUCAUGACAAAAGCUCAGCUGUAAAUCUGCCUUUAUUCAGUUUUAUACAGUAUUUGCACGACUGCUCAGUCGCAACAGAGGUUCAAUAUACAUGAAGGUCUGCACAAAGAUGCACCACUUUGCUAAACAACCCACAAACAAAUGGAUAAUCAAAUAUAAUUUGAGGAUUUUCAGAUACAAAUGUCUCAUAUUAUUAUAAUAUCAUGUUUUUUUGGCCUCUGCAGGUAUCUCUGGUUCCCUUUUCACCUCACCCUGACAGGUCGAGGCAGACAUCUGGCCUCCCUGAGCCUGGUUCUGCUGGAGGGUUCUUUCUGCUAAAAGAGAACUUUGUUGGGUUUCUCUUUUGUAGUAGAGAAACCCAACAAAUGUGAGACGCCCUGAGAACCGAAUUGUAUAUUAGGAGCAUUUUGUCUUUGUUGUUUGUGUGAAGUUUUGUUGUUAAUAAUCGUAUAAUUACAUUAUCACACGGCAUAUUGAAUCUCUGCUGUUCAACAUAAAUCAAAGCAAAAGUGAACAUUUAAACAGAAACUGCAGAAGCUCUACUAAAAACUCACAACCUGCUCGUCACAUACUAACUGCAGUAAAUCAGUUAGGCUUACAAGGCAUUUGGUCUGUGUUUGUGUCACAUAAGCACGGGUUAUUUAGUAUUUUCCAACAUACUGAAUUAUUUAGGUAACACUUAACAACUUAUUUUUGGAUGAAAAAAGGUGACAUUCUUUACAAAUACAUUAAUAAUAAAAACUAACUAUUCCCCAGCAGAUGGAGUCAUGUGAUAGUACCCAGGAAAGAAUAAAAGCAUCAUUAUAUUAGCUUUAUCCAUAUAAUAUUUUACUUGUACAUAAUGUUCAGUGCAGUUCUGAUACUGUAUGGAUCCCUUUUACCACCAAACAAUAUCAUUUACAGACACCUUUACAUUAAAUAUCUGCAUCCCUAAAUAUUUGGCAGAAACUUAAGCUGACUUUAGGUCGUAUUGCAGUUCAUUACACUUAUGUACUUUCAUUAAUCGUCAUAGAUUUCAGACAUUUCACACACAUAAGGCAUUGGAGCGCAUAUCAGAAAACUACAUCAUUAUUCAGACUGAAAUGUGGACGGCUGUAAUGCUGGCAUUUCUAGACUAUUCAUAUUUCAAAGCAGUGCAAUAAUUAAAUAAUUGUAUGUUCUCACU